UUUAAAUGUAAAUUAAUAUACUAAAUUAGUAAUAGUUAUGUUCUUUAAAUUUAAAGAUUUUGGCGGUAUUUUAGUCUAUUCAGAGGAACCUGUUCUAUAAUCGAUAAUCCACGAUUAAUUUUACUUAAUUUAAAAAUUUGUAUAUCGUCGUUUUUUAAUAAUUUUAAAAGAAUUAUAAUUUUUAAAAUUUUUUAUUAAAAAGAAUAUCAGAUCAAGGUGCAGUUUAUAUUUAAGAAGAAAUGGGUUACAAUAAAUUUAUUUAUAUGGAUUUUUAUAUUAAAUUAUAAAUUUAAAGUGGAUUUGAUUGUAAUAAAAUUAAAUUAAAUUUUAUGAUUUUAGCUCUAAAAUAUGU
rnacentral:rRNA from 1 species